GACGAACGCUGGCGGCGUGCUUAACACAUGCAAGUCGAACGGAAAGGCCCCUUUGGGGGUACUCGAGUGGCGAACGGGUGAGUAACACGUGAGUAACCUGCCCUUGACUUCGGGAUAACUUCAGGAAACUGGGGCUAAUACCGGGUAGGAAUCCUUGCUGCAUGGUGGGGGUUGGAAAGCUUCGGCGGUUUUGGAUGGACUCGCGGCUUAUCAGCUUGUUGGUGGGGUAGUGGCUUACCAAGGCUUUGACGGGUAGCCGGCCUGAGAGGGCGACCGGCCACAUUGGGACUGAGAUACGGCCCAGACUCCUACGGGAGGCAGCAGUGGGGAAUAUUGCACAAUGGGCGGAAGCCUGAUGCAGCAACGCCGCGUGCGGGAUGACGGCCUUCGGGUUGUAAACCGCUUUCAGCAGGGGCGAAGCUUGUGGUGACGGUACCUGCAGAAGAAGCACCGGCUAACUACGUG
rnacentral:rRNA from 1 species